rnacentral:lncRNA from 1 species
CACCUGCCCACCCCAGCACUCUUUCCCUGAAGUGGUCAUCUGCUACCCCCCACCCUGGUACUGUGAGUGGUUAGCACACAUCACAGAGGUCUAGCAUCAUGCCCCCAAAGGGAACUGCUUCCUGGGUGCCCCCACCAGCCUGUUCCUCUGAGGCAGGCACCCCCUGCCCUAUUCCCUCACCCAGGUAGCCUGCCUUGGCCUGGCCCCAGGAGUUCAACCCACCAAGACCUGAAGACAAGAUGGACCAAGGAGUAGUGGUCCCUGACGUGUCUGAUGGCCAGACACCAUCUACACCAGGACUGUUUUGAAAGUGGAAGGGGUUCUAAUAAGCUGGAAAACAGGCCUAAACCCAGACUUCCCACCAAAGAACAAAUGGUCACCCUACUGAUCAGGUUUCCCUGCUCUGAACGGGCCUUUGGUGUCAAGCCCCAGGCUUUCUGGCUCCUUGGGCCCAACCCCCCAAAUCAUGGCUGCCUGGAUCUGAGUAGAAAAGCAAGCCUCCACCCUGCCUUCCAUCCCAACCUUGCCAAGUCUUCCCUCUCUAGGCCCUUCUGUAGCUCAAGGCCAGGGAGAAAUGAACCACCAAUUCCCCCAUCCCUACUCAUGGUCAGUGCAAAGCACUCUGUUCUGGUAUCUUCCCCACUUCUGCCUACAUAUUCCUCGUCCCACCUCACUGUGGCUUUCAUACCAGCAACCCCAGGUAUCACCUCUGGAUUGGCAACUGGUGGACAGGUGGAAGCUGAGAUCAACCUGUAG